GCCGCCAUAGCUCAGUGGUAGAGCGCACCCUUGGUAAGGGUGAGGCCGAAAGUUCGAUUCUUUCUGGCGGCACCA
rnacentral:tRNA from 1 species